CAUAUAGGCCUCACACAGUUGAAAAUAGUGAAAAAAGUAAUCGGUUGACAGGUCUGCAUCUCGUAAGAAAUCAGAAGCCGUCCGACUUUGGUACAUAGCUCGGAAGUCCGAAGUAGCAGAAAAAACCGGCAUCUGCUACCUUAAGACAUCUGUUAAUUUUUGUUUUGGUCUCAGUCUGUAUGGUAGUGUCAAGUCAGGAUUGUCAUCUCUAGAUAUAUGCAGUAUUUCCUGUGCAUCUGAGUAGCUUAAGCGCUGUGUAAAAGUCUCUACCUGGUCUUGUCCAGAAGUUAACACCUCUGCCUGUUCACAAGGUCUGCAUCUCGUAAGAAAUCAGAAGCCGUCCGACUUUGGUACAUAGCUCGGAAGUCCGAAGUAGCAGAAAAAACCGGCAUCUGCUACCUAAGUGUGCGCUCACUUGAUUAUCAUCUGAUAGAAUCCGAAACCGGAAACAUAAUAUUGAAAGGGAAACAACUGAUUUUGAACGAAAUAUUUUGCCUCAGGCGUAAUACCACUAUUUUUUAACAGUUGAAAUACUGAUGUCAAAUGUGAACACUGACCGGUCACGAACUAUGACCCUCUAGUACUACACAAGGUGCCUGAUCUUGGCAAGGACCUAUACAUGCAUUUUUGUGUUGGUCGUGGGAAUUUUAAAAGUGGUCAGGAGAGUAUCGCUGACGGCUCGCAUUACGAACGUCGGAAGACAAUAACGUUCAGUUAAAACGUUCCUUGGCAUGGCUCGGUGCAUCACAGCUGAGUUGCCCAUUUUACAAAAACUGAAGGAAUUUUAUAAAGACGCCUAAACUCCACUAUAGUGUAUAAAUAAAUGAAAAUAGCAGCUGUGUGUAAACCCUGAUACUGUGUAUGUCGUAUAAUCACAUCGCUAUUUCCGUUUGGGUUGUUCACUGUUUCUACACUGUGAUUUUGUCUUCUUCUAAAAACAAGGUAAGUUGACAGUUUUUGUUGAAAUAUAUAUCUGAUAGCUGACACAUAGGAGAAUGUUUUGGUUUAUAUCCAUCUUACAGAUUUUUUUGAAAAUGAAGAGAAACAGGGGGAAUUCUGUAAAUUUCUUCUUAUAUGCAAAUGAGCUGAAAAUGUAUUGAAAUGACUAGAUCAGAAGUUUAUGCCUUUCCAGUAAGUUUUUCCCUACCUUUGACGAUAGUUAUUAAAAAGUAUAGAUAUCAACCUCUUUGCUGAUAUUAGUACCUAAAAUUUUCAGCCUGUGAAUAGCUGUGGAAAUUUGGCACUUCCUUUUUUUGAAGAUAUAAAUAGAUCUAAGCUAUAUUUAGACUAAAGUUUUUUUCAGUAUAACAGCAUGUAGAGAACCCUUACAUACAGUCAAAUAUUCUUGAUAUUGCAAGGAAAUAUAAUGCAUUUUUCAAGUGCUUGCUGUUUCUUAUGUUGUGCAUACUUGAUAUAGGUCAUUGUCAAUGUCAGCUAUCAUUAUACUGGUUGAGGACCACCAAAUCCGGACGACCACCAAACCGGACAGUUUCGUAGCUGCUAAAUUUUGCUGUAUUUUUAGCAAUCUUUUAUAAGUCAAACACACAUUUGAGUUUUUAACAAUGAUGUGGUAUUAUAACUGACAAAAAUAACUUACUGAGGAGGAAAUUUUUUUUGAUUUCGUUAUUCAUACUGAAGCAUGAAACUAUCUUGGGGGAUUUGGAAAUUCGCACUGCAUUUCUUACUUUCAUAUAGCAGUUUUCCACAAAAAAAAUCUGAAUAAAAUUUAUAUCUUUCAGGCCAAUAAUGAAUACUUUAACUCGUUUUCACGUUACAUAGCAAAAUGUCAUCAGUACAGAAGAUCCCAUAAGUUGUAAAAAAAAACUGUCCAGAUAUAUGGUACUGCCAAGCAGUGAAAGUAAGUAGUUUAGUCGACCCUACAUUCGGCCCUGGAAAGGGCAUUAAUCGUUCGUUAGGGGUAAACAAAUUAAGUCUUCUUCUUGAGGGUGCACCUAACUAUGUUCAUGUGGAACUUCACAGUUGUAAUGAAGGAAAUGAAAGAGAAAAUUGCGAAAAACUUCUAAAAGUGUCCGGUUGGUGGCCCCCGACCAGUACUGACAUUUGAAGUUGUUUUUUUUUUCUAAAUUACCUCCCUUAUAUAUGCAUUUUUCUUCAUUCAUUUUAUUGAUAAUUACUUCCCUUUAUGUUUAGCAAAAAUUCUCAGAUUGCAUUUAAUUAACUCCCUUUAUUUAACAUGAAAAAUUCUCUUGUGUAAUGAUUAUUUGUAUAUUUUACUUACAGUGUCUGAUACAUGUAGUUGCAGUCUGUCUUUGGAAGCUGUAGAAAUAACAAGAAAGAGGCUGACAUAGUGUUUUGGUAGGGAAAAAUUUGAGUAUGUACAUGUACAGUUGUUUGACCUGUCUUACCCUGUGGCAGUCCAGGAAGAUGUUACCAUUAUGAAAAAUGCAGGAGAACUUGAAGACAAUGGACAGUGCAGAAGGGACAUAAAAGUUAUGACAAAAGUAACAGAUAUAAAUAAGAAGUGCUACAAGUGUGUUGUCAUGUGAAAUGGAAUUUACCCCAACUGUGCUGCAAGAUGUAUAUUCAAGUGCAAGACAGCCAUGCACCAGCUGUAAACUGAGAUGGACCCAUAUAAUAAAUAUGUUGACUUUUCUAUGUAUUAUCAUCUGUACAGAAUGUGUUCAUGACAAGACUGUAUACAUAUAUUGUUAAAUCAUUUUUUAUUUCCAUUAUUGCAUGCAUGUAAGAAGCAAGCAUUUAACAAUUGCAUUCAUAGAAGUGUUAAAAUGUGAUCAAUCUAAUUUAAAGAAACACAUUUAAUUGGACUUUUUAAGUUUCAUAGUAUUUGUGGUGGAGACUGACCCAGUCAUUCAGCAACUUAUACUAUCUGUGUGUCAUUUCUUGUAUGUUAUAGUUUUCUUAAUAAUACAUUAAAUGUCAAAGUUAUGGUAAGAUGAACUCAUUCAUCACUUGUAGAUUAAUGUUAAAGCAGUUCAACAUUUUACCAUAAGUUAACUAAUAUUCUAUACUAUUUAACCAGAGUUGUCACAUAUUUUCAUAUAAAUAUUUGUAUAAUACAGUCUAAUCUAAUCUACAUAUGAUGUUCCACAAUUUUUUAGUUAUAUUUUAUGUUGAUAUUUUAUGUUGUUUUCAUGUCUCAACAUAUAAUUACUAACAUCAAAGAAACUUAAGUAUUUUACAAUUUGGUUGGUAUAAAUGGUUGUUUUGUUCAUAUAUUUUAUUUUUUUCCAUCCAGGAGAAUAAAGAAAUAUACAUUUCAAAAUAUCUCAUCAUUCCAGAUAAGUACACUACAUAAUCAAGAUAAAAGAAAUAAGAACAAAAUAUGUUGGUGGAAUUUUAUUUUCAAAAAUUUGAUAUACAGUCUUUGUAGUAUUAAAUUUUACUUCUUUAGAUAUGUUGGACUGAAAUGGGAAUAACAACAUACUUUAAAUUUUUGUAGUCAUAAGUUAAUAUUGGAAUUAUUAACUUAACUUUAAAAGAUUUUAUCUCACUGUUAUGCCAUCUGAGCUUUAAUAUUUUUCAACAUUGUCAUUGGCAACAAGGCUCAAAAUUAUUUGUUGUGUAUACCUUGCAUUCAUGUGUGAUAAAUGCUUUUAUGGUAUUCUUUAAUAUAAUUUAUGCUUUUCAUCUUACCAUGGAUUAAAAAAAUAUAAAUUUAUUUGUCUGAAAAUUAAGGUGAAAAUACUGACUGAUUAAAUUGCAAUAUAAGAAAGCUUAUUUGAGAUAAAGAGAGGUAAUUCCAUAAAAAAAAUAUGUAGAAUGUAGAUGAUAAAUGUAAUGAAGGGAGGUAAUAAAAUAUUGUGAAGUUAUUAGUCUUCAUUUCUUUGAUGACCUAAUUAAUUGUUUUACAUUUUGGUUUAUUAACUACAAGUAUGACCUAACAUGUGUACCUGUCCUGAAGGAAAAUAAAAUAGGUUGUUUGAUGUCCUUGUACUGUUAAGUUGUUCCUGUAUUUGUUUACAUUCCAUGUCUGAAUGAAAUGAAGAAACAGACUUUAAUGAGGGUAUCCCGGGAAAAUACCUAAGUUUAUUUUUAUAUCAGCAAAUUUGAUGAGACAGUCAUUCAGGAGUUGUCUAUCCUAUUUCCAAAAAUGCUAUGGGGACUAAAUUGUUUGGAGUAAAUAUCUCUUUUGAAAAAUAACACACAGCAUUUUAAUAUUGUAUAUAUA